GGCGUGCUUAACACAUGCAAGUCGAACGAUGAUGCCCAGCUUGCUGGGUGGAUUAGUGGCGAACGGGUGAGUAACACGUGAGUAACCUGCCCCUGACUCUGGGAUAAGCGUUGGAAACGACGUCUAAUACUGGAUAUGAUCACUGGCCGCAUGGUCUGGUGGUGGAAAGAUUUUUUGGUUGGGGAUGGACUCGCGGCCUAUCAGCUUGUUGGUGAGGUAAUGGCUCACCAAGGCGACGACGGGUAGCCGGCCUGAGAGGGUGACCGGCCACACUGGGACUGAGACACGGCCCAGACUCCUACGGGAGGCAGCAGUGGGGAAUAUUGCACAAUGGGCGAAAGCCUGAUGCAGCAACGCCGCGUGAGGGAUGACGGCCUUCGGGUUGUAAACCUCUUUUAGUAGGGAAGAAGCGAAAGUGACGGUACCUGCAGAAAAAGCACCGGCUAACUACGUGCCAGCAGCCGCGGUAAUACGUAGGGUGCAAGCGUUGUCCGGAAUUAUUGGGCGUAAAGAGCUCGUAGGCGGUUUGUCGCGUCUGCUGUGAAAUCCCGAGGCUCAACCUCGGGCUUGCAGUGGGUACGGGCAGACUAGAGUGCGGUAGGGGAGAUUGGAAUUCCUGGUGUAGCGGUGGAAUGCGCAGAUAUCAGGAGGAACACCGA
rnacentral:rRNA from 1 species